rnacentral:lncRNA from 1 species
UACUAGGCCACGUGGCAAGGGCCUGGUUGGGGACCUCCAGGGGUUGAGAGCAUCCUCUGGACAACAUGGAAAAAGAAAAUGAAAAUGGUGACCUCAGCCCUAUAGCUAGAAGGAAUUGAAUCCUGUCAACAACGAUACUCAUCACUCACUGCAGAUGUUACUUUAAGACAUUCUGGAGCAGCGUCAUGUGCAGGAACAAUAAGGAAGUGAGUGCUUUUGUAAUUCCUGAACAACUGUGUCUUACACUUACUAAGGGAUUCAUGGGCAAUAUGACUGAAUAGGAACAGCUCCAGUCUGAAGCUCCCAGUGAGACCAACAUAGAAGGCAAUCUGGGUGUUAUGAAAGAUGUAGACCAACAGAAACACUCAUACCUUUCUGGUGACAAUAAAACUUUGUACAUUUAUUUUGGAAAACCCU